UUUUUCUAUAAAUUCCUGUUACUGUAAAGGAAAAAUAACACAUUAAUAAGUUGUAGGUUCAUAUCACUUAUUAAUUAUUAUUAAUAUAUUUUGAUGUUUAUGUGAAAUACCGAUAUAGUUCGACGUUCAGAUGCUUCCUGCUCGGAUACUUGGUCAUAUACAAAGAAAUGAGCAAUUAAGAAACGAAAUAAAUAGGUAUAAUAUAGAGGAGAAUAAAGAGAAGGGAAAGUGAUGCAUUUACUUUAGGAGUUUGUAGAUCUAUUUAUAUUAACAACAGACAUGGUGAACUAUUUUUUUGAGAGGCUUAUACCUCAUAAUAUGUCAUAAUACGUUCAUCCAAGCAGUGUUGAGCCGUCACUGCCAAUUUUUGCCUCACUUAUUUUUAUGCAAUAAGUUCCUAUCAAAGAGUAGUCGGUCAGAGCUAUCAGUUAUUUUUCGUCCGCUAUAACCUUUCCCAUGUGUAGUGAUUCAUUUUCAAACAAAUUAAGUCAAACAUAAAGUGAAAUGAACGUUGAUGUGUAUAUACAUUUUGUAUACUAAUAUACUAAACACAUCGGCAUACGUUUCACUUUAUGUUUUGAUUUAAUUUGUUUGAAAAUGAAUCGUGCCCCAUGACAAAGAUAAAAUGGAACUACUAUAUCAAUUGCCCAAAAUACUGUUAAGGCCCCCUCUCACCAUCAAAUAAUUGACAGUUAUUUGAUCAAACUUGACAGUCAAACUUGACUAGUGACACAAACUAUACAUACUAACUGUCACUUUGUGUCACUAACUGUCAAGUUUGAUCAAAUAACUGUCAAUUAUUUGAUGGUGAGACGGGGCCUUUAGCAACCGUUUAAAUGAUGUAACAAAUUUAACAAUUGAACAUCUAAGUGAAGAGUCGAUUAUCUUUCCUACUACAUUCAUUCAAAAAGAGAAUUUUAAAAGAAAAUUUAUGCAGAAGUUUAAUUUUCCUGGCUGUGUCCUGGAUAGUUUGCACACAUGUUGCUAUAAUUGCUCCAACGGAACGGGAACAUAACUAUCUUAAUAGAAAAGUUAUCUUUCUAAAAAUGUCCAAAUUGUAACACUUGUUAUAUAACACUACUUACUUGUAAUAUUAUAUUAUGUACUAUAUGCUGCCAAUAAUCAAUUUAUAAAAAUAAUGUAUUAUCACAUAAUAUAUUAUAUUGCAAAUAUCACAAAAAUUUGUAGUAUUUGUUGAUAUUUGUGUUGAAAAAACUUUGACUAACAAAAUAAAUAAUAAGUAAAAUAUUACAAUCUUUUAGGCAUGUGAUCCAGACUUAAAAAUUUUAAACAUCGAUGCUAGAUGGGGAGGUGCAACACAUGAUGCUUCAUAUGGAGAAACUCAAAUGUAAAACUUUUUUGCAGCAGAUCGUUUAAAAUAGAGAUCAAAGCAUUUUCCAUUUCUAUUCUGGCAAAGAUUACUUUCACUUCUUAGUUAUCUUUGCUGGAAGUCUUGGUAUGAAACAAUGUUAAGACAAUACUGUGUGCUUUUUCAGUCCUAUGAAAGAAAAUGUUUUGGAUGUAACAGAGAAGUACUACAACUUUGUUAUGAAGAUUUGUCUUUAUGUUAUUUUUAUAAUGUUCAUGGAUUAUAUUUGUUUUUAUGUUUUCUUCAGUUUAAAUAAAGUUUAUGUUUUACCCA